rnacentral:rRNA from 1 species
UCUAGCGAUCCGAUGGGGUAUUGUUGCCUUGUCGAGGAGCUUCCCGGAAACGAAAGUCUUUCGGUUCCUGGGGUAGUAUGGUUGCAAAGCUGAAACUUAAAGAAAUUGACGGAAUGGCACCACCAGGAGUGGAGCCUGCGGCUUAAUUUGACUCAACACGGGAAAACUCACCCGGCCCGGACACCGUAAGGAUUGACAGAUUGAAAGCUCUUUCUCGAUUUGGUGGUUGGUGGUGCAUGGCCGUUCUUAGUUGGUGGAGCGAUUUGUCUGGUUUAUUCCGAUAACGAGCGAGACUCUAGCCUGCUAAAUAGUGGCUGGAUUUUCACGUCCAGUCUACUUCUUAGAGGGAUAAGCGGUGUUUAGCCGCACGAGAUUGAGCGAUAACAGGUCUGUGAUGCCCUUAGAUGUCCGGGGCUGCACGCGCGCUACAAUGGAAGAAUCAGCUGGCCUAUCCAUUGCCGAAAGGCAUUGGUAAACCGUUGAAACUCUUCCGUGACCGGGAUAGGGAAUUGUAAUUAUUUCCCUUGAACGAGGAAUUCCUAGUAAGUGUGAGUCAUCAGCUCACGCUG